GAGGGUAUAGCGCAAGUGGUAGAGCGCAUGCUUAGCAUGCACAGGGUCCUGGGUUCGAUCCCCAGUACCUCCU
rnacentral:tRNA from 1 species